AACGCACAUUGCGCCCCGUGGUAUUCCGCGGGGCAUGCCUGUUCGAGCGUCAUUUCAACCCAUCAAGCUUCGGCUUGGUCUUGGGGCCUGCGGUUUCGCAGCCUCUAAACCCAGUGGCGGUGCCAUUGAGCUCUGAGCGUAGUAAUUAUCCUCGCUAUAGAGUCUCGGUGGUGUCUUGCCAGCAACCCCCAAUAUUUUUACAGGUUGACCUCGGAUCAGGUAGGGAUACCCGCUGAACUUAA
rnacentral:misc_RNA from 2 species